CCGUUCUAUAAAACAAAAUUGUAUUAGUAUUUUAACAUGACAAUUCAGUGCAAAACAAGAAUGUGUUACAUAUACAUAUCAAACACGUCAUGUUUCUCAGUAAUUUGUAAAAUCAAGCACUACUACAACAAACAUUUAUUCAAUUUCAAAAAUGUGCUAAGAAUUAAAAAAAAAUAAUGUAAUAAAACAAAAAAUAAAAUAAACAGCAACAAAAACUACACAUACAUUAUUCACAUCAUUCUGCAUUAAACACGAACGGUACAUUUUGAUGUUCAUUCUGACACCGAUACCCGGACAUUAGGAAGGAAGUAAGGUGUGGUACAGGUACAGACCUUUUUCUGUAUUUUCUUCAAAUCAGUGCAAUUUCAGUUAUCUCCUCACAUGACAACAAAUGGCACUCAUUAUCACAUGCCGAUCCACCUGUGGUGGUUGGAUAAUAAACCCCUUUUUAAGGAAAUGUCACGUAUGAGAAAAUCUUUAUCUAGUAGUUUAUUCCUUAGAUUGAGCUCACAUUUUUGUUAUUUUACAUUUAACCUGGUUUUCAAGGUUUAACAAGAUUUUAAAAGAUAUAUAAAUAACGGUCACCUAUAAGGAAAAUUAAAUACAUCCAACGUCAUCCAGACCACAUAGGUAGUCAUGACAACCUCUAGAAAAUUAAGGAUGACUUUGUCCCCAAAGAAAUAAACAAACAGUGCGCCCUAACCACUAAACCACCAGGUAAAUACAUUUUGUGUAUGAUGGUAUAUUUUCUCAUUUAAAAACACAGGAAAAAGAUAAAUCAGCAUAAAUGUGUCAAACAAAAAAAUUAUUCUGUGCAAUUUGCUAAUUGUACAUACUGACAAGGGAAAAGCAAAACGUAGUACAAAAUAAAUGCGAUAAUGCGAUAUUGGGACGUUCGAAAAUUUGGUUAAAUACAUUUCCAAUAAAUGUCUCCACAUGUCCUACAGAAAAUGUUUAAUUUUAAGGCAACAUAACUUAUCAUGCCUCUUAGGCAAUAGUUUAGGGUUCCAAAUGGUCAUCCCCGGCAAUAAAUUAGACCAUUUUUCUCUGACCACAGAUGGACAUCCAUGAGAUUUGUACAGCAGAGCCCUUCUCAUCUAGCUGGCUUUUGUAGGGCUAAAGAUCAGCAACUGCUAUUAUUAAGAUUGUAGUAUUCGGCCCAGUUUGUUUGAAGUGAGCACGUCACGGUGAUACUUAAUACUAGGGAAUGUGUAGUAGCUGAUUUUCAAAGCGGCACACUCUGACAAUCAGAUACAGUUAAAUGUUAAAUGUGAGUUCCAAUGGAUAACCGUCAUAUAAAACUACUUUAACGAGCAGCGGAUAACAUUUGCAAUUGGUGCUCUCCUGUUAAGUUGAUCCUUUCAAAAUCCCACAAUGGGGCAGAGGUGAAUUUGAACCAGUUUCUACACAAACAUACACUAAAGUAAUUUUUUUCAUCCAGAACAUUAAACACAUGUCAAGUUGUCAUAUCUAAAUCAUAUUUGCUUUACGUUCAAGACUUUAUGGUCACACAAAUCUGUGAUUUCAACUGGAGGAGGGCCGGGUAUUGCUAUUUAAAGUCACAAUGCCAGUUGUUUUAAUAUAUUCCGAACAAAUUGGAUUUGGGAAAGGUUCUGACAGUGAUGUUCGCCAUUUCGCACGAUGCUAAUUUUGGGUGAUGAAACUUAUGGUUGCCAAGAGCUGUGGCAAGAGCAUGGAGUAGUGGUUACAGUGCAUUCAAUAGGACUAUUCCUGCCCAUCAAUUCAAUAGUGUCACCUGUGUGUAUUUUAUAUAACUGUGCAAAAUAUAGAUUGUGCUUGAAAAUGCAGAUGUCUGGUGUUUGUUGAUACUGCAGACAUGGUCCUUACCAAUAUGCUAGGACAGUCAAAAUGCAGAACGCCGGGGUCCUUAACUAAAUGCACUAAACUGGGUUAAUAAUCUUUCAUAGUGGUAUUGUUCUAAUAUUGAUGAAAAAAUUUAACAUUAUGCAUUUAUUCUAUUCUAUAAGGUUACGUAGAGUAUUCCCUUUUCCUUUUGAAUAGUUCCCCGUGCUCGUGAUGCCAACAGUGAACAUUUUACUGUCAUUACUAGGUGCAUCCUGCUUACAGCAAGCAACAGAGGAUAUGUUUUACAUAUGUUAGUGAAAUGGUGCAAGAAAAUAUUUUUUUUUGCAAAGUAUACCAAUGUAAAUAUUGCAAAAUAAAAAAAUAAAAAAAUUUUGCAUUUUAUUUUCAAUCCAAUUGAAAUCAAGGCAAAAAACAUAUAUAAAAAUUUAAAAAGUAUUAGAAUACAUAUACAAAGGGUAAAUUAACUGUAUAAAGGGCAACGAUUUAUUGUAAUCAAAUUAUUUUACACUUUCAUUGGUUUUACAAAGGUUGAUAAAAAUGUGAUAGUAAAGCAUGAAGCUGUAUUGCUUUAAUAGCACAGUGGAUAAUUAAGAAAUAUAUACAGGUCUACAAACAUACGUAGGUCUUAACAAAUAGCAGUACAGUUUUGACGCCCCCGUACCAAGGACUGUCAAAAGUGGUUCAGACUUGCUCAAAACAAUGUUGAAAACAAAAUGCCACAACUGUUUAAUGCAGACUGUGUUCAGUGACUCCAUCUACUUUCAGGAGUAUGAGAUGAGGUGUACUGGCUAUGUAGCAUAAUUCAUAUUUAAGUCAAAUAUACAGGUCUAUAAAUACAUAACUUUUCAGUUAGAUAGCAGUACGGUUUAGACAUCCCGUUCCCAUACAGGGUGUCAGGGCUCAAACAGGGUAGAGAAUGAUACAGCUGCUUAGUUCACAUGGUCCAGGGUACAAUGUUAAUUCAUGUGCUCAGUUAACUAACAAUUAUGUAUUUAAGCAGAAUGUUGCACCCAUACCAAAACAAGGUAAUUUUAGUUUUAGAUAAGGUCAGAUUUCCCAACGAACACUAAGCCUUAUAUGCAGUAAGAGUUACCUCCCAGGGACUCUUAAAAAUAGCCAAAAUGUUAAUCUCAGCAUGCUGCAAUCACUUACUCCCCCCCCCCACUUCCAUUGCGAUUACGACUAUUGGAUUUAUAUCUAAGCCCUAACUGAGCUAUAACAGAGAUAAGUGAGAAUGACAAGAAAAUUGUUACCCUGCCUAAUAUUCUGUAUGACAGAAUGCCUGUGAUAACCCCUACUUAGUACAGAGAGGUUUUGUUUGAGCAGCACAUCUCGAACUACGCGAAGUUAUAGCAGCACCGAGGGUUGUCAUAAGAAUGUAAAAUGUUGUGGCCAGAAGAUUUUCUUUCCAUAGACAAUACUUAAAAGGUUAAAAAGAAAUAAAGGGACUUCAUUAUUUAAGAUUCUCUUUGAAUGUAUGGUUUCUUAUACAACCGCUUGUAUUCAUUUAUUGUAGUAGAAACACGUGUCUAGAUUAGUGGUCCUCUAAACACUAAGGUCCGUGAAUGGUCAGCAUUCAAGGAUGAUCCUAAAAAGAGUCCAAGGUUUCAGGGAUUACACAAUUCUUAAACGUCUAGAACCACUACAUGUAUUUAAAAAAAGGGGGGCUUAUGGUAAGAAAGAACUGGCAAGUAAUACGAUGAGACUCACUCUGAUAAACUCAGUUUUUCGGCAAUCAUCAAGAUAAAAUGCAUAUAAUUGUCUAGUGCACAAAUUAUUAAAGUGCUAAAAUUAAAAAAUGACUAAUUACGCCUUUUACUUAGAGUGAAAGAAAGGAUUAUGUUAUUUUUUAUACUAGAAUACUACACACUUGUGCUUAUUUUCAACUUUUUUUUUUAUUUUGUUAUAUAAAAAUAUAGAACCAUGUUUUUUAAUAAAACCCCCACAAAUUAUAACCUAUUUUACAGAUGUUUCUCACAGUUAGCUAGCUCAGUUGCCGCACAUAUCUUUUCCUCAGAGUGUUGAAACCACAUCACGUAUAUAAAGCUAUAGGUUUAUAAAUAAGAAUAUAUUAUUUAUAAAACUGCAUAUAUAAAACUGAAAUAUUUACUAUGUGCAUUUUAUAAAUUAAAAAUUAGUGUGAAUUCAAGAGAUGACCAAGGGGGAAAUGUUCCUGCCAAUUUGGUUACACCCCUUAUGGCACACCAAGGCACUUUUAUUUAUAAAAAAAAAAAAAAAGAAAAAGAUAAACUGGUCAGUUUUGGUAUUUUACAAAGCUAGGAUUAGUAUCAUACCAUGGACAAAAUCACCAGAUCUAAAAUAAAAUUUAAAAAAACUAACAAAACAAAAAUUCAGGGUGCAUUAGUCCAAUGUUUAAACAAAAAUAUGUAUUUUUAUACCAUUUCCAGUGCAAAAAUUAGAACGCCUUAUAUCUCUACUUUUUGCAUGUCAGCAGAUUCAUGAAUUUCAAAUACAGAAGCAUUUUCCAUGAAUGUGUGUGAAUACUAGUUUUGUUUUGCUUAGGGUUGUAUUGUGCUUGUUUUAUCAUUUCCGUCUGAAGAUUUUAUUUAUUUUUUUAUAAAAAUCAAAAACAGUCACUCAUUCAUUCCUAUAGUUACUCUCAAAUGACCUCACUGGUUUUCGUUUGGUUAAUAUUCAUAUCAUAUGUGCAAAUAAACUGGUCGCGGAAAUGAUCAAGGGAGACUUGCGAUGAACUGAGAUAGAAAACGAUUGCUGUAGGAAUG
rnacentral:lncRNA from 1 species